GACGAACGCUGGCGGCGUGCUUAACACAUGCAAGUCGAACGGAAAGGCCUGCUUUCCUUGUGGAUUGCGGGUACUCGAGUGGCGAACGGGUGAGUAACACGUGAGUGAUCUGCCCCCAACUUGGGUAUAAGCCUGGGAAACUGGGUCUAAUUCCCGAUAGGACUGCAGGGUGGUGCCUGUGGUGGAAAACGAUUUUCUAGUGGUUGGGGAUGAGCUCGCGGCCUAUCAGCUUGUUGGUGGGGUAAUGGCCUACCAAGGCGGCGACGGGUAGCCGGCCUGAGAGGGUGGACGGCCACAUUGGGACUGAGAUACGGCCCAGACGCCUACGGGAGGCAGCAGUGGGGAAGAUUGCACAAUGGGCGGAAGCCUGAUGCAGCGACGCCGCGUGGGGGAUGACGGCCUUCGGGUUGUAAACUCCUUUCGACCGCGAGGAAGCCACCUGGUUGGAAGGGUGGUGACGGUAGUGGUGGAAGAAGCACCGGCUAACUACGUG
rnacentral:rRNA from 1 species